rnacentral:tRNA from 1 species
AUUUAUAUAAUAUAAAAAGUAUAUUUGACUUCCAAUCAAAUAGUCUAAUCAUUUUUAGUAUAAAUA